UACGUAGGUGGCAAGCGUUAUCCGGAAUUAUUGGGCGUAAAGCGCGCGUAGGUGGCUUCGUAAGUCCGUUGUGAAAGUCAAAGGCUCAACCUUUGAAAGCCGAUGGAUACUGCGGAGCUAGAGUACGGAAGAGGCGAGUGGAAUUCCUGGUGUAGCGGUGGAAUGCGCAGAUAUCAGGAGGAACACCAAUAGCGAAGGCAGCUCGCUGGGACGUUACUGACACUGAGGCGCGAAAGCGUGGGGAGCGAACAGG
rnacentral:rRNA from 1 species